rnacentral:misc_RNA from 1 species
GAUGAAGAACGCAGUGAAAUGCGAUAAGUAAUGUGAAUUGCAGAAUCCAGUGAAUCAUCGAAUCUUUGAACGCACAUUGCGCCCGCCAGCAUUCUGGCGGGCAUGCCUGUUCGAGCGUCAUUUCAACCCUCGACCUCCCCUUGGGGAGGUCGGCGUUGGGGGCCGGCAGCACACCGCCGGCCCUGAAAUGGAGUGGCGGCCCGUCUGCGGCGACCUCUGCGUAGUAAUACAGCUCGCACCGGAACCCCGACGCGGCCACGCCGUAAAACACCCAACUUCUGAACGUUGACCUCGAAUCAGGUAGGACUACCCGCUGAACUUAAGCAUAUCAAUAAGCGGAGGA